AGAGUGAACGCUGGCGGUAGGCCUAACACAUGCAAGUCGAACGGCAGCACGGUAAGAGCUUGCUCUUAUGGGUGGCGAGUGGCGGACGGGUGAGGAAUACAUCGGAAUCUACCUUUUGGUGGGGGGAUAACGUAGGGAAACUUACGCUAAUACCGCAUACGCCCUUCGGGGGAAAGCCGGGGACCAGCAAUGGCCUGGUGCUGAUAGAUGAGCCGAUGUCGGAUUAGCUAGUUGGUGAGGUAAUGGCUCACCAAGGCGACGAUCCGUAGCUGGUCUGAGAGGAUGGAUCAGCCACACUAGGAACUGAGACACGGUCCACGACUCCUACGGGACGGCGAGCCAGUGGGGAAAUAUUAGGACAAGUGGGCGACAACGGCCUAGGACU
rnacentral:rRNA from 1 species